rnacentral:rRNA from 1 species
UACGUAGGGGCGGUAGCGUUGUCCGGAAUCAUUGGGCGUAAAGCGCGUGUAGGCGGUUCGGUAAGUCCGCUGUGAAAGUCGGGGGCUCAACCCUCGAAUGCCGGUGGAUACUGUCGGACUAGAGUACGGAAGAGGCGAGUGGAAUUCCUGGUGUAGCGGUGAAAUGCGCAGAUAUCAGGAGGAACACCAAUUGCGAAGGCAGCUCGCUGGGACGUUACUGACGCUGAGACGCGAAAGCGUGGGGGAGCAAACAGG